rnacentral:rRNA from 1 species
GACGAACGCUGGCGGCGUGCCUAAUACAUGCACGUAGGACGCAGUUGCGAACGGGUGAGUAACGCGUAGGUAACUACCUAUUAGAGGGGGAUAACUAUUGGAAACGAUAGCUAAUACCGCAUACUAGUAGAUUGACCUGCGUUGUCUUAUCUAGUAGGUAGGGUAAUGGCCUACCUCGGCAACGAUACAUAGCCGACGUGAGAGGGUGAUCGGCCAAACUGGGACUGAGAAACGGCCCAGACGCCGAAGGGAGGCAGCAGGAGGGAAUCUUGGGAAAUGGGGGGAACCCUGACCGAGCAACGCCGCGGGAGUGAAGAAGGUUGUCGGAUCGUAAAGCUCGGUUGUUAAGGAAGCGGUACUUAACCAGAAAGGGACGGCUAACUACGUGCCAGCAGCCGCGGUAAUAC